rnacentral:rRNA from 1 species
UACGUAGGGCGCAAGCGUUGUCCGGAUUUAUUGGGCGUAAAGAGCUCGUAGGCGGUCUGUCACGUCGGAUGUGAAAGCCCGGGGCUUAACCCCGGGUCUGCAUUCGAUACGGGCUAGCUAGAGUGUGGUAGGGGAGAUCGGAAUUCCUGGUGUAGCGGUGAAAUGCGCAGAUAUCAGGAGGAACACCGGUGGCGAAGGCGGGUCUCUGGGCAGUAACUGACGCUGAGGAGCGAAAGCGUGGGGAGCGAACAGG